GACGAACGCUGGCGGCGUGCCUAAUACAGGCAAGUCGAACGCAGUGGGGACGGGUGAGUAACACGUGGGUAACCUCCCAUCAGGGGGGAUAACACUUGGAAACAGGUGCUAAACCGAUACUGAUGGAUGGACCUGCGGUGCAUUAGCUAGUUGGUGAGGUAACGGCUCACCAGGGCCACGAUGCAUAGCCCACCUUGAAGGAGAAGCAGACGCGCGGCAACAGAGACACGCCCCAGACUCCUACGAGAGGCAACAGUAGGGAAUCUUCGGCGAUGGCCGAAUGUCUGUCCGCACACCUCCGCGUGAAUGAAGAAGGUGUUCAGAUCGUCAAGCUCUGUUGAUAGAGAAGCGUUCUCUAACCAAAAAGCCACGGCUAACUACGUGUCAGCAGCCGCGGUAAUAC
rnacentral:rRNA from 1 species